UCGCAGGAAUUCCCAACAUGGCGAGAAAGGGCUGUGGGAGAGCUUUCAUCGACUGUGACGAGCAGCGCUGCUAAUGCCGCAUGGGGAAUGUUCCUAGAAGGCAAUCACACAGGCCAGCUCAUUAUUGACGGUGUCCAGUUGAAGUGGAUGUGAUAGGGUGACCUUUCCCUCCAACCUUGUUAUCGAUGCGGACUCGUUAAGCAGGACUGUUUAAUUAGCAGUGGAAUUGCAAUCGGGGAGGAGCCGGAGACCUCUGUGGCCGUAGACAUGGAUCAAUGGUCUUCAGGGAGCCUUUGCACUCGGCAACAGGGGAACCUCGCAUGUGUUCGCAACGCCGAUCUGGGGAGCCAGCGUCAAUUGGCUUUGCGCAAAGCCAGGGUCCAUUUCCUAAAAGGCUUUCAGGAUGAUUCCUCCACGCGAGCCAGGAUAAGCUGAGACAAUCCGAUGGCAGCUCCAGCAGCCCCACCUCCAAACCCGCUGGAAACCGCUUUGGGGCGGCACAGGACGCUUUGAUUCUCCUCCUGCGAUCGCCCCCUCUCCUCCCCUCGUCCACGGGGCCCUUGGCCUGGCAGCUGAUCCUCCCUUCACAUUUGGCCUGUGCCGAGGCCGCCCGCCAUCACCAUCAAAGCGUAGGCUGCCUCCCAACUGUUAGCACCCCGCU